GGGCAUUGGUGUAAAUGGACAGCACGCCAUCCCCUGUGGGUGGAGGUCCGGGUUCGAGGCCCGAGAUGUCCGC
rnacentral:tRNA from 1 species